GACGAACGCUGGCGGCGUGCCUAAUACAUGCAAGUCGAGCGAACAGACGAGGAGCUUGCUCCUCUGACGUUUGCGGCGGACGGGUGUGUAACAUGUGGAUAACCUACCUAUAUGACUGGGAAAACUUCGGGAAACCGGCGCUAAUCCCGGAUAAUAUAUUGAACCGUAUGGUUCAAUAGUGAAAUUCGGUUUUGCUGUCACUUCUAGAUGGAUCUGCGCCGCUUUAGCUAGUUGGUAAGUUAACGGCUUAUCAAGGCGACGAUGCGUAGCCGAAUUGAGAGAGUGGUCGGCCGCACGGGAAGUGAGACGCGGUCCAGGGGACUGCGAGAGGCAGCAGUAGGGUAUGUGCCGCAGUGGGGGAGAACCUGACGGAGCGACGCGGCGUGAGUGGUAGAAAUCUUCGGAUCGUGAAACUCUGUUAUGAGGGAUAAACAAAUGUGUAAGUAACUGUACACGUCUUGACGGUAACUGGUCAGAAAGCAACGGCUAACUACGUG
rnacentral:rRNA from 1 species